AGAGAAGAAAAUCUCUCAUCAAGAAGAGUGCAGAAAGGGGAAUCAACUGCAGCCAACCAUGGAAGACAGGAAUUGAUGACAGCUGUACCCCACUACCCUUAAGACCCUUAGGUUAAGAAGAGUUCAUCACCUGCCAGCAAGAAUACCAAGAGAAGGAUAGUCUUUGGCCAACCCAAAAGGUUACCAAAUGGAUGAAGAGAAGCAAGGCCAAUCAGAAGCACUGCACUACUUGACAGCUGGAGAGCCCGGCAAAGGUUAAGUUACCAGACAUAAGGUGAGCUAUAUUCCUAAUUAACAUUAGUUAUCCUGGAGGAGCUAGACAUGAAUUGCCCUGCAACCUACAUAUAGAAAGUACAUUGAUAUGUACCUGCUGUGAAGUGUACAGCUUUUUCUGCUGCUGACUAGGACAGACAUGUUUUUGUCAGCUGCAUUAUUGUAUAGUACUGUACUGUACAUUGUAAGACGCAGAUUAUUUUACCAUAGUGUUUCUCUGUUUCCACCAUCACUGUAUAUCCAGGUGGUAUUAUAGUUAUUAUAGAUAUACAUUAUUGGCACUGCGAGCAGGGUAUUUUAGUUUGACAGUGGGGUCAAUGCUUUGC